CUUUUGCUCCAAAGGAGACUGAAAUAUACGAAAUACCGUUUCCCGCAAUAACGAAUGGCAAAUGAAGAAGUUGUUUCAGAAAAAGAGAUUCAAAUCGUCAAUUCUUUCUACAUGUUAUGUGAGACAUUCAUAAACGAUCAUACUAUCUUCGCAUCUAAUUCAAAAUUCGUUGGUAGCGAGUUUUUUGAUAUAAUUGAUGAGUUGAAACCAGAAUUCGAAGCCGACUGUUGGUUCAUGG